GGUAAAUGUUUCACGGUCUGGUGUCUGAUUUAACUAUUGAUUGACUUGUUAUUGUUGCUUUAUGAAUCACAGAGCAGAUGUCACUUUCAUCUGUAAGACUGAUAUUGUGUGAUUUGUAUUUUCCAGUGAGCACUAUUUCGCUUCAGUGACAUGUGGCAGCUUUGAUUUAAAUCAGACUUCAAAAUAUGUACUUGCCAAUAAAGGAAUAGAACUGAAUAUUGUCUUCUCCCUAAGGCUGAUACGUUAAUAUUUUAUUUGUGAAUAUUAAACUUUUUGCAGAUUGGAAUGCCAGGAGUGUUUUACGUUAUAAAAAUAUUUUUUUGUUCCCCCAAAUUUCCAACAUAAGAAAGUGAAAAAAAUAUAUUUAAGUACGCUUAAUUAUUCCGAAUCUUAGGUGCAUAACAGAACGAUAAGGUUAUUGUACAUAUCAUUUUAUUUUCCAUUAUUCCCAGUGAAGUUUUAAAAAACGUUGACUAUGGUCUUAUCUUACAGUGCAACUGAAGUCGUUUUCUUCCCAUUAAAUUCUUUUGCUAGUGUCCUGUCUCAGGUUCAUGCCUUGCUGACUGAUGUGACUGCAUCUCAGGUAGAAUGCAAAAUUUAGGCCCCACCUAUCAAUGACAUGAAAGCAAGUACAAUACAUCAUUAAAUACAAUUAAGUACAAAACAGAAGUUUAGGUCCCAAAGCAAAAAGGGUGAGAUAAUUUUGCUUCUAUGUUGUACAUGUUUUAUGUAUUUUUCUUAAUAUUUGGUGCACUGUAAAAGAUGUGUUAAGUAUUGCUUUGUGUUAACAUAGGUACUAAAGAGUACAAUGUUUAUUGGAAUGAAGCAGGAUCAGAAACUUGUUGUGGCUGUACUUCUGUCAAUUUCAACGCACCACCACCUUUUGAUUCCCAAAAAGUUUUCUUUCACCAUUCUUUUCAGAUUGAUUAUUUUUGUCUCUCUGCUGUACUUGGGAAAUGUUAAUGUGUAUUAAUGGAGAAGAGGAGUUCCACAUUCCCAUACACAUUUUGUAUUGGUUCAUAAAUAGACAUUUUUACAAAACAAUGAAGAGUUCUUGUCUUAAUAAAAGAGAAAAGAUAUAAAUGUCCAAAAUAAUCAGUGUUGGCAUUGGUUUUUUUUAAUAGGCUUUAGGUGAAUUAUUAAAUGUAAAAUGCUAUACGUAUAAU
ensembl:lncRNA